GAUGAACGCUGGCGGCGUGCCUAAUACAUGCAAGUCGAGCGAACAGACGAGGAGCUUGCUCCUCUGACGUUAGCGGCGGACGGGUGAGUAACACGUGGAUAACCUACCUAUAAGACUGGGAUAACUUCGGGAAACCGGAGCUAAUACCGGAUAACAUGUUGAACCGCAUGGUUCAACAGUGAAAGACGGUCUUGCUGUCGCUUAUAGAUGGAUCCGCGCCGCAUUAGCUAGUUGGUAAGGUAACGGCUUACCAAGGCAACGAUGGCUAGCCGAACUGAGAGGGUUAUCCGCCACACUGGGACUGAGAAACGGUCCAGACUCCUAACGGGAGCAGCCGUAGGGAAUCCUCCGGCAUGGGCCAAAGCCUGACGGAGCAACGCCGCGUGAGUGAAGAAGGUCUUCGGAUCGUAAAACUCUGUUAUUAGGGAAGAACAAAUGUGUAAGUAACUAUGCACGUCUUGACGGUACCUAAUCAGAAAGCCACGGCUAACUACGUG
rnacentral:rRNA from 1 species